UACGUAGGGGUCGAGCGUUGUCCGGAGUUACUGGGCGUAAAGCGUGCGCAGGCGGCGGUCUGCGCCCGGCGUGAAAGCCCCCGGCUCAACCGGGGAGGGUCGUCGGGGACGGGACCGCUUGAGGGUCGCAGGGGCUGGUGGAAUUCCCGGUGUAGUGGUGAAAUGCGUAGAGAUCGGGAGGAACACCCGUGGCGAAGGCGGCCAGCUGGGCGACACCUGACGCUGAGGCACGAAGGCGUGGGGAGCGAACGGG
rnacentral:rRNA from 1 species